CCUACGGGUGGCAGCAGUGGGGAAUAUUGCGCAAUGGGCGAAAGCCUGACGCAGCGACGCCGCGUGAGGGAUGAAGGUCCUCGGAUCGUAAACCUCUGUUAGCAGGGAAGAAAGGUCACUGUGCUAAUCAGCAGUGAAUUGACGGUACCUGCAAAGGACGCACCGGCUAACUCCGUGCCAGCAGCCGCGGGAAUACGGAGGGUGCGAGCGUUAAUCGGAAUUACUGGGCGUAAAGCGCUCGUAGGCGGGAUGUCAAGUCAAGGGUGAAAUCCCCGCGCUCAACGUGGGAACUGCCGUUGAAACUGGCAAACUGGAGUGUGUGAGAGGAUAGUGGAAUUCCAGGUGUAGGAGUGAAAUCCAUAGAUAUCUGGAGGAACAUCAGUGGCGAAGGCGACUAUCUGGCACAUAACUGACGCUGAGGAACGAAAGCGUGGGUAGCGAACAGGAUUAGAUACCCCGGUAGUC
rnacentral:rRNA from 1 species